GGCUAAAGCAAACGCACAGCCUUUGAUCGGCUUCGCUCUGAUGGCACCGGCGGAGUUCAGCUCCUCGGGAGCUGGGGACUUUGCCGCUUGAAGAAUAAGCCCUGUCUCUUCCUCUACGGGGACGCUUUUUUACCAGGUAUGUCAGGUCUCCGUGCCACAGGAUUCUUCUAUUCAUUCAGGAAUUCCUACUGGUUCCAGCUUCAGUUCUGGCCAUGCCCAUCUCCUAUCCUUGUCCUUUUCCUUAGAAGAUGACCAAGAGUCAAAGUCAGCCUGUGAUGGAAGCAUGAGGCACCGAAUGUAUUUGCUCCAGGGAAUAGGAGAAUGUGUUUUCAGAAUGGUGCUUACCAUACUGCUUAUUUCAGGUCUCUUAGUUGCUGCAGAAAUACCACAGCCUCCCACUUUUCUAGCCCAC